rnacentral:rRNA from 1 species
GACGAACGCUGGCGGCGUGCUUAACACAUGCAAGUCGAGCGGUAAGGCUCCUUCGGGAGUACACGAGCGGCGAACGGGUGCGUAACACGUGCGUAAUCUGCCCUUCACUUCGGGAUAACCACCGGAAACGGUGGCUAAUACCGAAUACGACCAGUCUUCGCAUGAGGUGCUGGUGGAAAGUCUUUUCGGUGAAGGAUGUGCUCGCGGCCUAUCAGCUUGUUGGUGGGGUAAUGGCCUACCAAGGCUUCGACGGGUAGCCGGCCUGAGAGGGUGACCGGCCACACUGGGACUGAGACACGGCCCAGACUCCUACGGGGGGCAGCAGUGGGGAAUAUUGGACAAUGGGCGAAAGCCUGAUCCAGCAGCGCCGCGUGAGGGAUGACGGCCUUCGGGUUGUAAACCUCUUUCAGUACCGACGAAGCGCCCUGUCGGGUGGUGACGGUAGGUACAGAAGAAGGACCGGCCAACUACGUG